GGCAGCAUGGUGUAGCGGUUUGAGUGUUGGACUAUGACUUUGGAGACCAGAGUUCGAAUCUCUGCUUGGCCA
rnacentral:tRNA from 1 species